rnacentral:rRNA from 1 species
CCCUUAGAUGUUCUGGGCCGCACGCGCGCUACACUGAUGCAUUCAACAAGUUCUACCUUGGCCGAGAGGCCUGGGAAAUCUUUCAAAUAUGUAUCGUGAUAGGGAUAGAUUAUUGCAAUUAUUAAUCUUGAACGAGGAAUUCCUAGUAAAUGCAGAUCAUCAUUCUGCGUUGAUUACGUCCCUGCCCCUUGUACACACCGCCCGUCGCACCUACCGAUUGAAUGAUCCGGUGAAGCCUCGGGAUUGUGCCCAGAGAACUUUAUUGUGAUUUGGGUGUGAGAACUUGUCUAAACCUUAUCAUUUAGAGGAAGGUGAAGUCGUAACA